rnacentral:lncRNA from 1 species
UUCAUACUCCCAAGAAGCAUUUAGGAGCUGUUUUAUGUGCCCAAAACGUCAAUAAAAAUGGUCAAGCUGUUCAACUCACAAGGAGGCUUCAUUAAGGUGCAUUCAACUUCAUUGGCCGAAUCAAGACCCCUUAUUCAGCUCACCAAUACUUCCAUUAAUGUCCAACUGAAUGGAUUACAUCUAGAAGCUGUCCAAUUGACUUCUUCAUGCAUGAAGCUUCCCAAAAAUGUCUUAGGAAGGUUGCUGGAAAUUUCUAGUCUCUUUUGUUUUAAUUUUGGCUGACCAUUCAGCAUCUUAUUAGUCCAUUCGGCUACCUUAGGAAUUUAUCUAUAAAUAGCUUGUUUUGUAUUCGUUUUAAGGUUAGACAAUAUAUUUUUAAAACUUAUAUGAAAUUUGUUUACUUUGUGAGUUUGUUUCCAACUCUCAUUGUUCUCCAAGGACUGGUUAGACUUAUCAAGUAACCCUUGUGGCGUCAACCCGUUUUUGUAUUUCGAACUUAUCACUUUGCACCCAAAGUGUGGCGUUCAAGUUAUACCGAGGUUCCUAUCAUCUUUGAUAGUGGGUCAAGGUUCCAUUUUAUUCGUUUUCCAUCCAUACAACAUUUAACCUUUCCUAAGUAUUUGUAAAAGUCCCGGGUUAACACACUUAUAUUGUGUUGGUUCAACUUGAAUACUUGGUUUUCAUUCACCUAUCAUCCUCAAUACAUUUCAUAACCCCUUUUGAACUAAAUUUGAGCCUUUAUCUCUUCUUUUUUAACCUAUUUCGUCCACCCUCGAGUAUUACUCCAAUUCACGAUCGGGCACAUCUACGACUCGACUCUCCUUCCCGAGCUGGGGCGCAUCAUUUGGUAUCAGAGCCAGCUGAAUCGGAGUAAGAAUCGAAGUUAUCGGCAUUUCGGUAUUGUAAAAAAAGGAAAAAAAAUUCAAAAAAAAAAUUUGUAUUCAUUUUUUUUUCUUUUCCUUGUCUUCUUUUGUAUUCAGUAUUGAAAAAAAAAGAGAAAUUAAAAAAAAAGAAAAAAAAUGUUUCAGAAGUAAAAAAAAGGUGAUUGAAAUUCAUUUUGAGUUUGUAAAGCAUUGUUUGCUGCCCGAAGUACUCAAAAUUCAUUUCUAGCCACACUUAACCUUUCUAUUUUGUUUGAUAGCCUACCUUUAAUCCCGACAUCAGCCCCACCAAAGCCACAUCAAUUUUUUAAGCCGACCCCAAACGGUAUUGAUUUGUCGACUUAGUUUGCGAAGAACUUUGAGGGGUGAAAAUCGAGUGGAAAAAGGCAAGAGCGAUUGGUGAGACCAUUCGAGAGAAGUAAAAGCCAAAUAGUGUGAAUUUUUUUUUGUGUGAGAGAAGUGUGAGUUUUGUUGUGUGAUUAAAAAAAAAGAUGUCAAGAAGUUUUGAAGGGAUUGAUGAUGAAGAAUAUGACGAUGUUUUGAUCGACCCAACAUAUCAAACGAUUAUUCAUGAUGUGGGUCAAAUGCUUCAAAGAAAAUUGGAACCAAUUAAAGAACGAUUGAAGAAGUUGGAUGAACGAUUCCAACGAGAGCAAAUUUCUUCAAGUUAAGAGAUGAAGAAAAGAUCGUCACGACGACACUACUCGACAAGAGACUCUUAUCAAGACUUCUAUUCAACAAGGCGUUCGAGACCAAGAGAAGCAAACUCCGAGUUUGAGUCCUUCCGAGAUGAUAAACGAAAAAGUAAACGUGUCUCUACAAGUGCCUCAAUUUAUUCAUCUACAAAGGAUUAUUUACGAAGAGGUGCACGUGUUUCAAGAGUGUCAAAGUACUCGGCUACGGAAGAUCUAUCACAAAGAGAAGAUUGCCAUUUGUAUGAAGAAUCCUUUUCUUAUUCUCAACGAAAGGCUUCUCAUUUUGAUGAUUUCUACUUUUGUAAUGGAAUUGAAAUAGCAUGUGAAAAAGAAAAAGAAAAAGAGCGCGAGCGAGAAAAUGAACAUGAAAAAGAAAUGAAAGAAAAAGAAGAUGAGUGGGAGAUAGAAAAGAAAAUUGAAAAUGAGAUUGAGAAUAAAAACGAGUGCGAAAAAGAAAAGGAAACCGAAAAAGAGAGUGAGAUUGAAGGAAGAAACGAGAGUGCAAAAGAAAUGAGUGAUAUGGUAAAAGAAAGAGGAUUUGAAAAUGAGUUGGAAAAAGAAAGAAAUGAAAAGGAUGAAAGUGAAAAAGAAAGGAGUGUUGUUACUAACCAUCCUAUGAAUUUUCCUUGUUUUGUUUCUACUUUUCAGGUUUCUCGAAAUCCCAUCGAUCAAUUUCAACUUCAAUACUUUUCUAAGGAGAAACGAUUUCGAUUAGUCGAGAAAGGUAAGAUCGUAGAUGACCCUAGUCCACAAGUGCUUAAAGGUAAGCCAUGUAAGGGAUCUACUGUAUUUGAGUCUUCUCAAUCUUACUUGAUUCUUGAUGACGAGAUUAGCAAAGACUUAGUUUGUGAGAAAGUUUUUCAUCUUGAUCUGAUUGGAAAUCAUAAUUUGAUUGUUGAUAAAUGUGUUUUACAUAGUAAUGUGAAAUAUCUUUCUGCUCAUGAGCCUAUCAUUGUCAAGAUUGAUCAAGAAGUAAGUCCAGGUAAGCCCAAACAAAAAUUGGGAUUGUGUGAUGAAAAGUUGACAUCUAAUCUGUUUGCUUGUGAUGAUCAUGUGAAUUAUCUAAAUUGUGGUGUGAACUUUUCUUAUUUACGUGUGUGAAUGAAAUAUGAAGGGUUUGAUUGCUCAAAUGUAUGUAUGACUAACUCCUAUUUGCUUGACAUGUGUGAAGUCUUGGUGAAGAAGAAAUUUUCGUUGCGUUGCGAAACGACCAAUGAAAAUCGCGUUUUUAAACCUGGGAUAUACAUUCCUAAGUUAACGUCAAGCCAAGCAAGAGGAAGCUUCGUUUUUGACCCCGGAGAUUAUUAUUCUUUGUUCUUGUUAAAAGGGUUUGGAUUUUGCAAUUUUGACUUUCGAGAUUAUGCCUUUCGACUAUUUUGUGGUUCGGAUUUGUUUCUAUCCAUGAACUUUUUGAUUCAUUUUGGAAAGGUAAGAGCGAAUUUCAUUUUUGAUCCUGGCAUUGGGUUAAGCAUCCCAAUUUUGAAUAAGCAUCUAAAAAGAUCAUUUGUGUUUAUAAUUUUUAGUGUCUCUAAUUCCUUUCAUUCUCGUGUAGGUGACACUCUAAAUUGGUUCCCUCCAAAAGAGGGAGGGCAUGGAAAUAAUUCAAAAUUUUCUCGAACCAUUCGUGAUUUUCAAAGUUUUGGAAAUGAUUCUAUUCGGGUCAUGAACAAAAGGGUUCGAGAUCUUGAAAAUUUUUUUUCGAGCAAGUGGCCCGAUUUGAGGACAAAUCGUCUUCUAGAGGGAGGGUAUGAUGUGAUCCUGAUCGCAUCAUUUAAUGUCACAACCCAACGCCGUCGAGAUUGGCCUAAACACGAGGGCCCCAAGUGCAAGAUGAAGCUAAUUUUUAGCUCAUUUGAAUUUCUUUUCGUGUGGUUCAACUCAUUCGAGCUCAAGUUAGCUCAUUCGUGCUCAAGUCAGCUCAUUCAAGCUCAAUUUAACUCGUUGAGCUCGUUAUUAGCUCUUUAGCUCUUUUAAUUUAAUUUGCCGGAAUAAAUUAAUUAGUUGAGUUAGUUAUUUUAGCUCAAAUAAUUACUAAGUGUUUAAUUAAGAAAUCUGGACAUUUUAAUUAUGUUUGUUUAUUGCAUGUUUAAUUUGUUUUAAUUAUUACCUAGCAUAAAUGUGUUUGCCUUAUUACAAUUAUUUAAUGUGUCUUAUUGCUGAUUUAUUAUGCCUAAGCUGUUAUUUAAUGUUCAGCCAAAUUUAAUUAACUUUUCUAGGAUGCUGAAUUAAAUGUGUCUUAGUUGCCGAAUUUAUUGAUGUUUUUCAUUAGUUUCAGCCGAAUUUAUGAGCAUAUUUAUUGAUCAAAUUGCUGCCAAUUUAAUUUGUCUUAAGAUGCUAAUUUUUAAUGAGCAGAUAUUAAUGACCGAAUUUAAUUAUUUGGCUGCAGGUUUAAUGGCUUGGACGGCAAUUUAAGGAAGUGGAUGUUGGCCGAAUUUAAUGUACAGCAAGACAUGCAUUAAAGAUGCUGUUCUACAUGCAAGGAACGGCAUUAAAGGAGUUGUUUGUGCUUUUUCAUGUGGCCAUUUAAUGGACGAAAUUAAAGAAGCUGCUUGCUGAUUUAAUGUGCAGCAAAGACAUGAAUUAAAUGAGAUGUUCCCAUGUAUGGAACGACAUUUAAAGGGAAGCAAAACAUGAAUUAAAUGAGAUAUUCACCAUGCAUGGACGGCAUUAAUGAAAGCAUGCAAGGGGGGACGUUAUUGAACAGCAUUAAAGCUGGUAUUGCUUCGGGUACAGCAAAGAGCUGUUGUUUGGGGAAUUUCCAAGUGACCAUUCGGCCAAAGCAUGUCUGUUGCUUAAUUAACCAAGGUUGACGUUUCAUACUCCCAAGAAGCAUUUAGGAGCUGUUUUGUGUGCCCAAAACGUCAAUAAAAAUGGUCAAGCUGUUAACUCACAAGGAGGCUUCAUUAAGGUGCAUUCAACUUCAUUGGCCGAACCAAGACCCCUUAUUCAGCUCACCAAUACUUCCAUUAAUGUCCAGCUGAAUGGAUUACAUCUAGAAGCUGUCCAAUUGACUUCUUCAUGCAUGAAGCUUCCCAAAAAUGUCUUAGGAAGGUUGCUGGAAAUUUCUAGUCUCUUUUGUUUUAAUUUUGGCUGACCAUUCAGCAUCUUAUUAG